AUCUCAGACGAUCUCCAGGUGAAAGCGAAAGUACAGCACGUAGCUUCGAGGGUCACGGAUUUGGAUAUAAGUUUGUCAACUAGGCCCCUUUUGUUUCGUUUUUAAUCAUGAAGUUCUUCUUCGUUUUAAGCGUCUUUAUACUGUGUACAGGGAAGCCUGUGCAUUCUGUAGGCUGUCCAGUCGAGAUGAGCCCUCCAAGUGUUCUGGUGAGAUUUGGCGACCCCUUCUCUGUCAACUGCAGCUCACCAUCCGACCAGAGACAGUCCUUGGGCUGGGAGGCUAUGGUCGGUACAGUGUAUGGAAACACUACCCGUCACCGUUUACAAAAUGCCGGACAGUAUUUCCAUCUCUCAGCCAAGUCAAAUGGGCCCCAUGGUAGAGGGCGAAAAGUAUCGCAUGCAGUGUGACAUUGUUAAUGUUGCACCCCUAAGAAACCUGUCUGUGCACUGGCACAGAGGAGAUAAGAUCAUCUAUACGCAGACAUUUGACGAGUCCAGUGAAUCUCCAGUCAACACGUCCUCUGUCUUCGAUCUGACCGCCCAAAUAGGCGAUAAUGGAACUGAGAUGUGGUGUGAAGCACAGCUGGACUUUUCACCACCUGUACCAAAUCUAUCAAUCCUAUCAGACUCACUUAAAGUGAUUGUACUGUACUCGCCAACCUUCACCAAGCCCGGAAAUGAGACGCUGGAAAUCUCAGCUGGUAAUGAAACCAUUUUAGAUUGCACUGCUACAGGAAACCCGACGCCAGUGUACAGCUGGAAUUUCCCACAUCUUAUCCAAAAGGUGA